rnacentral:rRNA from 1 species
CACGUAGGGUGCGAGCGUUGUCCGGAAUUAUUGGGCGUAAAGAGCUUGUAGGCGGUUUGUCGCGUCUGCUGUGAAAAUCCGGGGCUCAACCCCGGACUUGCAGUGGGUACGGGCAGACUAGAGUGUGGUAGGGGAGACUGGAAUUCCUGGUGUAGCGGUGAAAUGCGCAGAUAUCAGGAGGAACACCGAUGGCGAAGGCAGGUCUCUGGGCCACUACUGACGCUGAGAAGCGAAAGCAUGGGGAGCGAACAGGAUUAGAUACCCCUGUA